UUGCCCCGGGAUGAUGGGUCCCUGAGACCUGGGAAAGUAGGAGCUCUUUGGGAUAGUGCGUCAGAGUCGGGGUUCAGACCAGUCCUGGGCAGGGAAGUUAACACUGCGGUCUCCGGAACCCGGGAUUCGCGGAAGGUACACCACCAGGAAGAAACAACAGCAGCAAGAAAUCUCAGACAGAUCGCCGGGGAGGCAGCGCGGGAAUCCAGCCUCAGGAGUGCGCGGACGGUGUGCCGGUGGAAACCCCCUUCCCAUGGGGUGAAGCGCAGUCUGCUCCAGAGCCCCACUGUUGGGGUCGGGGAUGUCACAGAAAUUAACAGGGCAGCCAAUUCCCAUCCAGAGGGGGCCCGGGAUGACCCCGAACCCUCUAGCUCAGCCCCAAGCUCGGGCCAGGGAGUGAAGCCCUUGUCCCCAAGCAACAGAGUGAGGGUCUGUCUCUAACCCGGUGGGCUCCAGUGAAAGGAAAAUGGCCUGGAGGUGCCCACAGGAGGGCGCCCUAGUUCUGAGACAGGUCUACGGCUCCCAGACUGCGUCCCCAUGAGUAACAGAGGGACACGCAGAGGGGCAUACUGAGUGCCUAUAGGGGACUCACGGACUGCAGAUGCACGCUGCGGAACCAGAAGCCGGUCAGUGCACACAACCAAGCUUAGGAGCCGACUGUUAAGAUGCCCAAGUGACACGGACAAGUUUCUCCUCUGCAACCCAAUGAGAUCUGCUGACCACGAGAGCAUCGCGGGACCGCCAAAGGAUUCUGGAAAAUGUGGUCCCGGGUGGCCAGUGUGCGCUGACCUUCACCUGAAGGUACGGCUUGAAGGAA
rnacentral:lncRNA from 1 species